AUCAUAACCCCCCUGAG
rnacentral:tRNA from 1 species